rnacentral:rRNA from 1 species
UACGAAGGGGGCUAGCGUUGCUCGGAAUCACUGGGCGUAAAGCGCACGUAGGCGGAUUGUUAAGUCGGGGGUGAAAUCCUGGAGCUCAACUCCAGAACUGCCUUCGAUACUGACGAUCUCGAGUCCGGGAGAGGUGAGUGGAACUCCGAGUGUAGAGGUGAAAUUCGUAGAUAUUCGGAAGAACACCAGUGGCGAAGGCGGCUCACUGGCCCGGUACUGACGCUGAGGCGCGAAAGCGUGGGGAGCAAACAGG